rnacentral:rRNA from 1 species
UACGGAGGGUACAAGCGUUAUCCGGAUUCACUGGGUUUAAAGGGUGCGUAGGUGGGCAAGUAAGUCAGUGGUGAAAUCUCCGGGCUUAACCCGGAAACUGCCAUUGAUACUAUUUGUCUUGAAUACUGUGGAGGUCAGCGGAAUAUGUCAUGUAGCGGUGAAAUGCUUAGAUAUGACAUAGAACACCAAUUGCGAAGGCAGCUGGCUACACAAAUAUUGACACUGAGGCACGAAAGCGUGGGGAUCAAACAGG